rnacentral:rRNA from 1 species
GACGAACCGUACGAACGUUAUUCGGAAUCACUGGGCUUAAAGGGUGCGUAGGCUGCGCAGCAAGUUGGGUGUGAAAUCCCUCGGCUUAACCGAGGAACUGCGCCCAAAACUGCUGUGCUCGAGGGAGAUAGAGGUGAGCGGAACUUAGGGUGGAGCGGUGAAAUGCGUAGAUAUCACUUGGAACGCCAAAGGUGAAGACAGUCUGCUGGGGACUUGCUGACGCUGAGACACGAAAGCCAGGGGAGCGAACGGG